ACAUGAAUGCUGAGCCUUUCAUUGUGCUCCAUGCCAGAGCAAACUGUUGCUCAGAACCACUGUCUGGCCUCUGUGCACACAGGCUACGUACGCUGAAGCAGGUAGCAUGAAA
rnacentral:snoRNA from 1 species